CGUCUAUAUACGUAUAGCAUAUCAAUAAGCGGAGGAAAAGGAAACUAACAAGGAUUCCCUAGUAACGGCGAGUGAAGCGGGAAGAGCUCAAAUUUGAAAUCUUAAAGGUUUUCCCUUGACGAAUUGUAGUUUAAAGAAGUGUUUUCUGUUGGAGUUUCGGUAAAAGUUCUUUGGAAUAGGACAUCAUAGAGGGUGAGAAUCCCGUAUUUGACCGUUACUUUCCAGCUUUGUGAUACACUUUCAAAGAGUCGGAUUGUUUGGGAAUGCAGUCCAAAAUGGGUGGUAAAUUUCAUCUAAAGCUAAAUAUUGGCGAGAGACCGAUAGCGAACAAGUACCGUGAGGGAAAGAUGAAAAGAACUUUGAAAAGAGAGUUAAACAGUACGUGAAAUUGUCAAAAGGGAAGCGUUUGACACCAGUGUUGUUUAGUUGAAAAUCAAUUCAAUAAUUUGUGAUUUUGAGUAGUAUUGACUUCAUCAGCUUGCCUGCUUUUUUUCAUAAAUUAUUUAAUGCACUUUUCAGUUAACAAGUCAACAUCAAUUUCUUUUGUUGUAAAAGGGUAAGAGGAAGGUGGCUUACGUUUCGGCGUAAGUGUUUAUAGCCUUUUACCUCUGCAAUCGGAGAGAUUGAGGACAGCAGCGUAGACUCCUUCUGGGGUUAGACUACACUUGUGCUAAGCUAUAGCCUUGUAUAGACAACUUGUUGACUAUGCUCAGUCAUGUAGCUUACUCGCUUGUGCUAUUUUACCUACGCUUAGGAUGUUGAUAUGCAUGACUGAUAU
rnacentral:rRNA from 1 species